AGCAGCCGCGGUAAUUCCAGCUCCAAUAGCGUAUAUUAAAGUUGUUGCAGUUAAAAAGCUCGUAGUUGAAUUUCGGGGUCAGCAGGUUGGUCGUGCCAACGGUAUGUACUGGCUUUGCUGAUUCCUCCUUCUUGUAGAACUGUAAUGCCAUUAAUUUGGUGUUGCAGGGAAACAGGACUGUUACUUUGAAAAAAUUAGAGUGUUUAAAGCAGGCUUACGCUUGAAUACAUUAGCAUGGAAUAAUGAAAUAGGACGUUGAUCCUAUUUUGUUGGUUUCUAGGAUUGACGUAAUGAUUAAUAGGGAUAGUUGGGGGCAUUAGUAUUCAAUUGUCAGAGGUGAAAUUCUUGGAUUUAUUGAAGACUAACUACUGCGAAAGCAUUUGCCAAGGAUGUUUUCAUUAAUCAAGAACGAAAGUUAGGGGAUCGAAGACGAUCAGAUACCGUCGUAGUCUUAACCAUAAACUAUGCCGACUAGGGAUCGGAUGAUGUUAAUUUUUUAAUGACUCAUUCGGCGCCUUACG
rnacentral:rRNA from 1 species